rnacentral:rRNA from 1 species
CACCCAGACUCCUACGGGAGGCAGCAGUGGGGGAUAUUGCACAAUGGGGGGAACCCUGAUGCAGCGACGCCGCGUGGGUGAAGGAGUGCUUCGGCCUGUAAAGCCCUAUCGGCAGGGAAGAAGCAAGACGGUACCUGACUAAGAAGCCCCGGCUAACUACGUGCCAGCAGCCGCGGUAAUACGUAGGGGGCGAGCGUUAUCCGGAUUCACUGGGUGUAAAGGGAGCGUAGACGGCCAUGCAAGCCAGGGGGGAAAGCCCGGGGCCCAACCCCGGGACUGCCCUUGGAACUGUGCGGCUAGAGUGCGGGAGGGGCAGGCGGAAUUCCUGGUGUAGCGGUGAAAUGCGUAGAUAUUAGGAGGAACACCAGUGGCGAAGGCGGCCUGCUGGACUGCAACUGACGUUGGGGCUCGAAGGCGUGGGGAGCAAACAGGAUUAGAUACCCCCGUAGA